CACGGUGUGGCGGAAUUGGUAUACGCACCGAACUAGAAACUCGGCGAUCUUUGAUCUUGUGGGUUCGAAUCCCACCACCGAAA
rnacentral:tRNA from 1 species